GCUCCUGCAACCAAAAGAACACUUGACUGUGGCAUCUUUCCAGCCUCCUGUUAGCAGCUAGGUAAGGUGCCCCCAUGGCAAGGAGCUGCGGGCAGCCUCAAGAAACUGGGUGGCCUCUUAGGACCUGAGGGCAGCCUCCAACAAGCAAGCAGCAAACCUCUGGGGCCUUCUGUUCUACAACUGCAAGGAAAUAAAUUCUGCCAACAGCCUGAAUGAGCACGGAAGUGAACUCUUUCUCAGUCGAGCCUCUGAAUGAGAACACAGUUCAACUCAUGCCUUGACUGCAGCUUGUGAGAGUCUGAGAAGAGGACCAGAUGGAGUCUCGCUCUGUCACCCAGGCUGGAGUGCAGUGGUGCAAUCUCGGCUCACUGCAAUCCCCGCCUCCCAGGUUCAAGCGAUUCUCCUGCCUCAGCCUCCCAAGUAGCUGGGAUUACAGACAGCUGGUUCCAGAAGGACCCUCUGAGGCUGGUCUUCCGGGUAGGAUGUGCUGUGGGAGGGUUCUGUUUCCGAGGAGGAGAGGCGCGACACAGCGUGCAAGGACCUGCAGCACCUUCCACGCAGCACCCCCUGCUCCUCCUCCUCAGCCCCUGCCGGGCUCUGACUCCUAAGUCAGGCAGGAGCUUCUUCAGGCCCCUGGCUGAGGAAGAGCCACAGCCACCCUAAAAUGGCUUCGGGGGCAUGCAGCCCUCCAUCUCCAGCAGCUCUGGCCAUCCCUCGUAUUUGUUUGUGUCUGGGCUGUUCUUUAAGAACUAGAGAGAGAGAAGACAGAGAAAUAUAGGCAGUGAGUGAGGCUGUUCAGAACUCAUGCCCACAUGGACACU
ensembl:lncRNA FAM3D-AS1 FAM3D antisense RNA 1